AGGGGGGACUUGGAGAGGAGACCUUGGGGACCGUGUCAAAGUUUUCUGUGCCGGAGCAGGGACAAACAUUGGGCAAACAUUGGGAAAGGCUGGCAGCCUUUGAGAUAGUGGGCCGUUGAUCUAAGACUGAGGAGCUAAAGUCCACUAUCUCCCGUCUGAUACAGCAGCCAAGGUCUUGCUGACACACACAGCCACAGAACAAACAUGGAUACCUGAAGACAAUGACCUUUGAACUCCCAGUGGGAGAGGUGGUAAAAAACAGGAAGUGGUGAAAGUGACUCCAGUGACUUCCUCCCUGCAGGCCAAGAAUGAAUCAGGUGGAAUGAUUAGCAGACGGUCGGUGUUGUACAAAGAUGCUGUCUCAGCCCAACCUAAGGAGCUGUAGCCUCCGGUUAAGGCAAGCGGAGGGAGGCAGGCGGAGGACGAGAGGGAAAAGCAACACGGGAGGGAGAGAGAAAAAAAAAAGAAUAAAAGCAAGCAAGCAAGAAAGACACAAAAGAAGCAACUCCAAAAAUGAGCAUCAAAGCAAAAAGAGUGAAAAGCAGUCAGGCAGGAACAAAAGGAAGAAAAGGAACAGUGCAUCGGGCAGGCGUGGUGGAAAAUACAACAGAGGUCAUGAUAAGAAAACUGCAAAAUGACACAGAGAGAACACACUGAGCCUUUUUAAAAUAGUCUUGUAUUUUUCUUCAAAGACUCCUAAACUCAUCAGCAAAUAAAAUCCACACUCACAAACCAUAAAAUGUGUGGUGAUGUGUUGAACGUUUGCUUUUAAAGAUAAGUAGGAAAUUAGAAUGUGUUCUAAUUAUUGUGGACAAUUAUUUUAUUGUAUGCAGUUAGAUUCUCCUUGGAUUAAAAAAAAAAUGUAAUUUGUAACUUUUUAUAUUACAACAUUUUGUGAAUUGGACCAACUACAUACACACAAUGCACACAGUGUAUUGGUCACAUGUAUAACUGCAAUGAUUAGUCGAUCAGGUGAUUUUGAUAAAUGAUUAAUUGCUCUAGUUAUUUAUUAUAAAUAAAAAAUGCUGCUGCUUUCAGCUUAUCAAAUGUGAAGAUUUGACGAUAUUUGACAUCUUAUGGACAAAAUGAUGAACUGAGACUAUAACAGGCAGAUUAUCUAAGAAUGAAAAUAACUGUUAAUUGCAGUUCCAGUUUGAAGGAGCCAAAUUUACAAGCAGUUUGUCUUCAAGCUUAAUAUAUGCUUAAUUUCUACAACCUGUAAAAAUGAUUACUGUAGUCCGUUCCAAUACUGUAGGUUGUGGAGGUGAUUCCACUGUAUGUGUGUUUGUGCGUGUGAGUUUGGCGAUUGUUACAUUUAGCUUGAUGAGGAGGCACCUGCGGUUGUCUGGAGCCUGUGGAGAAAACUAGGCUGGGAGGUUGGUGCUCUACAGCCAAACCCAAAUCAUUAGUGCAUUGAAUGACUAAGGGAGCAAAGCAGCACUGAUUCACCCGAAAACGAUGCACUGUACAGUGAAUCCAUAAACUGUGAUCAGGAACACACUCAAAACUGAAAAAAGUAAUACAAUAUCUUUAUAUAAGCUCUAUUAAUGAUAUCUUUCCACCCAUCACAUCUUCCCACCCAUCACACACACACUCAAUGUUUUUUUUUAUUGUGUGUGUACCUUGUGGAAGGUGAUAUAAAUAAACCACAAACAACAAAUGUUUUUUCCGCUCUGUUUUUCAUUUUUAUUUCCAUUUUUUAUUCAUUUUGCACAAGCUUGCAUAUAUACUGCACAUACAUUCAGUUCAUAGGGGAUGAAGGCACGAAAGGCAAUUUGACUACUGGUUGUUUUUGGGCUGGGCCAAAAGUAAUACAGGGGGAAAAAUCUCAAGAGAAAAUACAAAACUGCUUAAAACUAGUUUCAGCUUUCUAGCCCACGCUCGGCCCUGUCCAGGAACAAAAACAUAACAGCCUUUUUUUUUUUUUUUAAACUGACUAGUUCCAUUUAGCUGCCAAGAUCUCCAUUUAAUCAUUUUUGUCAAUUGAAUGAGCACGCUAGAAUACUAAGUUUUUUUAAAAUUCACUUUUAGGUAGAUAAGGAUUAAAAUCUUUUAAGUUGGUUCUACUUAAUGAAAUGCAGUACAGCCUUCCCUGUUUGAAAAACAAAAGAAAACAACAUCAAAUAAAUUAGGAUAAAUUAAACCAAUAAAUUACACAAAAUCUGCAAGACAAAUAGACACCAAUAAAAGAAAAAAAAGCAGCCAUGUCGUGAGUUUUAUUUUACAACCUGUGUGUAAUUAUUCAGACUGUAUUUGAAACAUGGCUGUUCCAGUUGGAAUUACUGCACUAGAAUCGAAUAAUAAUGUCAUACAAAAAGCAUCAACAAAACACUAUUUACAUAACAUAUUGCUAAGUUAUACAAAGGCAGUAUUUAUCACUGUAAGUCCACAUCAUUGAUAUUUACAAAAAAAGAGGAGCGAUGUAAUGAUAAUAAAAAAAAGAAUUACUACUGAAAGCAUAGAGAAACAAAAACCCCUUUCAAACAGGUCAGAAAACAGAUCAGAGGAAAUUAUCACAACACACACACGCACACACACCAAACACACGUUGCCAACGCUUAAUGAGAAUCAUUUACAUGUCAGGAUGGUACUCCCAGGGGUGGGGGAGGGGCCACAGUGUUGAGAAUUGUGUCACUCACUGGUUCACAGGUUCUCAUAAUCGGUCUUUUCUCUCACUCAGACACACACUCAUAUACAUCUGCGCGCACACACACACACACACACACACACACACACACACACACACACAA